UCUAGCCAACGUUGGACGAGCAUUCGAGGUAGGUUAAUGUUUACCGAAAUCGUCGGAAUUCCUUCUAAGUCAUAGAAGUAGGAGCAUGUAUUUUCUUAUCUAGACCAUCAUGUUUAGUAGCUCGAAUUCGUCGUAGAUUUGCUUGUUUUAUAUGAAAUUCGAAUUUGGAGCAUUAUUUAGUGAUUUUAGAUGAAGUUAUAUAUGCUGAACUAGGAUUUGACUUAGGAGAAAACUCAUUAAACCUACACUGCCACUUUUCGAAAAGUAACCAACUUAGCUUCAAAAGCUGUUAUUCUUUUGUAUCACCGCUGUUAAUGCGUAGUGGAUACUCAGAUUAGUGUAGGUUGAGAUUAUACUCGUGCUGAGGGGCCGAGCUCGUUUUACAGUAGAUGGCAGACUGUUCCGUACUGUCGGGUGCCGUCGUGGUUGACAGUGGACCCAGAUGUUUACAUCUUGUUUAGAUUGUGCCGAAGGCAUGUGAGUUUUGGUUGUUAGA
rnacentral:lncRNA from 1 species